GGAGGACAAGGCAUUGCAAUUAUGGAGGACACUGCUGGAAAAUGGAGGACAUGGACCAAAUGCGAGCUACGAACACUCUCCUAAAUGUAAAUUCAUGCUUCUUAUAGGAUGCAUCUGCACUGCAGAAUAUAACCCACAUUGAUACCCCUUUUAACUGCCAGGGUUUAAUGGUCUCAAAUCCUGGGAGUUGUAGUUUACUGUGGCCCCAAGUAUAGAUAGAGAAGGCGAAAUGCAAGGAUGGAUUGGGUGUCCUCACUGCCAAGGAGGACAAGGCACUGCAAAAUGGAGGACAUUCUAGAGGAGGAAUGGAGAACAUGGACCAAAAAGGAAAAGCUCAAGGCACUCAUUGGAUGUUUAUGGAGGGAAUUUCUGAGAAAGUUUUAUAUUCACCUCUCCACCUAAACAGGAAUUUCAAGAUCAACAAUACUGAGCCAUGCCUUUUGGUUACCUUGAGACUGAGAGAUGUGUCUACAAGCCUCUUCUGACUCAGGAUGAGAUGUCAGGUCAUCACCUUCCCUACUGAAAAGCCUGUUUGUUCUUAGAUACAAAAAUGCAGCCUCUGGUCUUGAGACCACUUGUCUGCCAAGAUAACAUCUAAUCUGGAUUUCAGUCAAUGGCUGAGGCACUGAUCUCUCUUCUCCAAAUGAAAGCCAAAUGUUUAAGAACUGAAGGUCUCUUGGAGCAACUUGACCUGGAGCGAAGCAAUGAGAAUCUUGCAGAGUCACCCUUUUUUAAAACUUCAAAUACCUGUAAACUCUGAUGUCCUUAAAUAAAUAUAGUUUUCUUUUUUAUUACUGG